CGGCAUAUGGAGGUUCCCAGGCUAGGGGUCUAAUUGGAGCUACAGCUGCUGGCCUACACCACAGCCACAGCAACUCGAGAUCUGAGCCAUGUCUGUGACCUGCAGCACAGCUUAUGGCAGCACUGAAUCCUUAACCCACUGGGUGAGGCCAGGGAUCAAACCUGCAACCUCAUGUUUCCUAGUCGGAUUUGUUUCCACUGCACCACAGUGGGAACUCCUAGAAAAAUUAGAUUCUUAAGGGACCUGGCACCCCAGUAUGGUGCUAAACCCCUCUGUCCCUCCCCAGGUCUAGGGGUGUGGUGGCCUGAUCUUGGGAGGCCUACUGCCAGGAGGGGGUCCCCACCUCCCCUCUCAUAUGCAGUCCUGGCCAGCCUGACCUGGCAUGGUGCUGGCUGACUGCCCCACGUCAGUUCUUUUAUCUCAUCCGGGGUCAGCUCUGGGUGGGCAGCCUUGGCACAGCACCCCUAUGCUCUUCCCCUCCCAUGGUCAUCUAGCUCUGCCUGCGUCUUUUGUCUCUCUCACGGCCCCAGGCCCCUAACUAAGCUGAGUAUAGCUGCUCUCCUCUCUCUGGUGGAGGAAUUGCCUUUCCCUAGAGAUGCCUUGCUUCCGCUGAUUGAUUUGCUGCAGGUGAAACCCGCCCGGUCUGCUGCUUGUCGGAGCCACUUUGCAAAGUGCUUCCUCUGCAGUGGCCUUGACAACGAGGAAGGGAGCUGGCGAGCCCUGAGGUGGGUGCGCAGCAGUGGUGGGCCAUGGUUUUUGGCUCGAUGUCCCUGAUGCCUUGUAUAUUAAAGAUUUUCACCACAUCUGAACAUAGACAGCAGGAGAGGAGAGCAGGGGUAGAGGAGUUUGGACCUUCAACACGCGUGUUUCCGUGGUUGCCAUCACCUUGACCUGCUGGGCAGGCAGGUUUGGGGAGCGGAGGGGCUCUGGGAGCAGAGACAGGCCCCAGAACCCCCAGCUGCGCCCACACCCCCUCCAUCACCUGCCCCAUUGUCUUUCCCUUCUGAGGCCUUGGCUUUCCCAGCUCACCACGUGGGGGCCGUUCCUGUCGAGGCUUGUAAAAAUCAGCCUUUGAGAAAGAAAAGGGAACUUUUCCUGUUGAAUGUUGGCUCUGUGUGUGUGUGUGUGUGUGCGUGUUUGUGGGUGUUUUUAAUGGAUUUUAUUUUUGUGAAAUACCUUGACAAUUAUGUAGCAAAAUUCGCUUUUAUCUCCCAGUCAACCUUUUGGUUCCAGAGUCAACCCUGGGUGUCGCUAAUUGGAAGAAUUCUCUCCUGGGUAUGUGAACAGAGAGGUGCCAUCCUCAAGAGUUGAGGUGGUGGAGAGGGUUGGGAGAAACUGAAGUUCGAUACAUUUCCAUAAAGUUUCCUUCCUGCAGUUAAAAGGUAGGAGACAUGGAGCCGAGGCUGUGUGUCCCCGAGGGAACUGGCACGAGGCCCCUCCCUCGGCGCCCUUGCUGCUGCUUUAUCUGAAUCUGUUCACACUCGUGUUUGUGGGCUUCUUCUGUAACGCCACAGCUGAAACAGCACGUUCUUUUCCUUUUUCUGCUUUCAGUUCAUUGUGUAAAUGGUUCAUUUUUUUCUCUUGUGAGCUCCGGUGACUGUGUCAGGGCUUCUGUAGCAAACAGUCACCCCUCGUGGGCAGAAAAACAAAACCCAAGAAGAGUCUUGCUCACCGGAGGCCCCAAGCCUCAGGCCUGCGCCAUCCAGAGCAAGGCCGUUUAUGCUCCGCUGUUGAGAAGCACCUUUCCACCAGCUGUAUUCAACACUACAAUGCAGUUUGAAAACUAUAUUUGCAUCCAAGACAAUAAAAGGCCAUAUUUUUUGAAAACCCUGUGAUUUGUCGUUCCCCUUGAGCUAUGGAGGAGGUGACAAAAUGAGAUCAGGGCAAAGUGAUGCCCACAAGUGGCUCCCUCAUUCUAGGGUUGGGGGUGUGGGUGCAGCCUGGCGGUGCUGUGGGUGAGGAGACAGACCCAGGAUGGCAGGGGCUCAGGAGGUAUGUCCUGGAGGACAGUGGGCCUAAAGAGAAGCCUCUGCUGAACGGCCCAGCAGGAUGGACUCUACCUGGGAAUGCACCAGGCUGUGGUAUUGCAGGCCUUUCCCAGGUGGACAGAGUCCAGUGAUGCUUGUGCAGACUUGCACACUUCCUAGUGUGGAACAUGGGCAAAUAGCACCCCCCCGCACUCUUUACAGGAGGUGGUGAGGUUCCCAUGUAGUCGGAUGCAUCCAGUGCUUAAGAGAGCGCAUGUUACCACCAACGUGGCCAGCACCAGCCCCUGCACAGAAUGGGGUCCAUGUUGUGGAGGUGCCCGGGUGGCUGUGGGCUCCCUGCUGACGCUGACCCAGUACUGUAGGCAGAGAACACUAGGAGGUUGACCGCAGAGAUGUCCCUUUGUUGUGCUGGGAUUUUGAUCUCUGUUUAAUCUAGAAGCUUUUCUUUUGGCUCUGCCAUCUUUCCGUGCCCGCCCCCCUGCCCCCCAGCGCCUUGUGUCUGGGCAGGGUGACCCGGUAAGAUGAACCAUGCCAUCCCAUCUCAGGCUGCUGGCUUAUUCACUGAACAGCUGCCCAGAUCCAUAUCUCGACUAAAAUGCAGUGGGCUGAUACACAGGCUCUUGUCUGAUCAAACCCCCACUCCUCCCCCAAGGGAAAAAGUCUUCAUGACACAAAGCAAGAUUUGGGGCCUUGAGAACCGGGGGCCCUAGAGGGAGAGGUAAGUGGUUGUGCCUUUGGGUUGGAGGGAGCUCAACUAUUGAGAUAAUCAGUGGCUGUCCAGUUGGUUCUUCUAACUUGGGAGCCCACCCCAUGUCAUGUACAGAACCUUAAAAGAUAACUUGGGGCAUAAUUAGAAGAAGGGAGAGGUCGGAUCUGGGGAAGGGAGGAGAAGAGUCUGGAGGGGGAGGCCAGGGCACUGGAGCUUCAAUUCCUCAGCGUCAGGUGCUGGGCCACCUCGGGGACAGGGACACCCCUGGACAGUUCUCAAGUUUUUCCUCACAGAGGAAGAAAUGGAAGUUGUUUCCAAGGUGACAGGGCUGCACUGGUCAGAGUGAGAAGGCUGGUUUCAUUUUUUUAUCCUGCAAAGGGCCUCUCCAUCCACCAAGUUGGAAGAUUAUCCAUGGUAUCCUCCCCUUCCCUCCCCUUCCCCGACACCAAGCGCUGUUAAGUCUGUCCUCCAGAUUUCUUCCAAACACAUAGUCCACUUCACUCCGUCCCCAGUGUCCCCAGUACCCAAGUCCAAGUUGCCACUGUUUCUCAAGUUCACACAACAGUGUCCUCCAUCCCUUCUGUCUGGUGGCCUCUUCUGGUCAGGGAACCUGAGGAAGCCCACCCCCCACAGGCCUCCCCACCGUCCUUCCAGGGCUUCCAGAUAAAGGCCAGUCCCCCCGACCCCACUGAGUCCAUCCUGCCCGCGCCGGCCUUUCCAACCUCAUUUCUGCUUUUUUCAGUUCCUUGAAUAUGCUGUGCUUUGCUUUGUUUCACUCUAGGUUUUCCCAGGUCUCCUUCCUCUGCCCACAUCUUUCCCCUUCUCUACCCCUUUUCCUAUCAAGCUCCUACUCUCUCUUCCCAUCUUAGUCCUUACAUGUCAGGGAGUUCUGGUUGUGGCUCAGCAGUAACGAACCCGACUAGAAUCCAUGAGGUUGAGGGGUGGAUCCCUGGCCUCGCUCAGUGGUUUAAGGAUCCUGCAUUGCCGGUUGGAUCCCUGGCCUCGCUCAGUGGUUUAAGGAUCCUGCAUUGCCGUGAACUGCGGUGUAGGGCACAGAUGCAGCUCGGAUCCCAAGUUGCUAUGGCUAUGGUGUAGGCCAGAGGCUACAGCUCUCAUUCUACCCCUAGCCUGGGAACUUCCAUAUGCCGUGGGUGCAGUCCUAAAAAGACCAAAAAAAUAUAUAUAUAUUAAAUGUCAGAAACCAGCCUUAGUGUGUGUGUCAUCCCCCAAACCCCCCAAAACACAGGUCCGCACGUGCACGUGCACAUACACACACAUACAUGCACACAUCCAGUCAGGCCUCGGAGCACCUCAUAUUUUCUCAGGGUGCAGGUCAUGUUUGUGAUUAUCGUUCACCUUCCCCACCAGGUUCCGAGACCCUUUGGGACAAGGUGCCUGUGGCCACUGCUGUGCCCAGCUCAGAAUUGUCACAUGGCAGGUGCCCCUGGGAACCUGUUCUGUGCGCCCUUGGCCCUGUGCCUGCCGCCCUUCCCCAUCUCCGAGUCAGACAGGCGCAGGGUGUGGGGAGCCUGACCAGAUAGGACAGGAGGAGAGAGGAGGGGGCAACUAUUGGAUGCAGACGUCAAACUCAGGUAGGUGUUGAGCAAGGUUUAAAGGUUGGAUCCUAUGAUUACAGAUUUAAUAUUAAACUUUAGUAAUUCAGGUUGUAAAUGUGAUGAGAAUAGCCUCCAAACGGCAUUUAAAAGCAUUUCAUCUUGGACUUGGCCUUGAUUCUAUAGAAUACAGUUUACCAUCUUUAGUAGCUCUUUUUUUGUUGUGUCAGGCUCUGAAUUUAGCCUGGUGUAGGGUGGUGUGAUGACAUGUAAUGUGUGCUUUUACCUUUUUAUUUCAGAACAUUGCCAGCAUACACAGAAGCAGAGAGAAGAGUAUAAUGAAACCUCACGUGCCCGACCUCCACUUGAACAAUCACCAACUCAGGGCCAAUUUUGUUUGAUACAUACCUCACCUCACUCCCAUUAUUUAGAAGCAAAGCCCAGAUGCCUUAGGUAUUUAAUUAGUUAAUAGCAAAUGUGCUUUUGAGUUUCAUUUCCAGAAUUGCAUCCAUGCCUGCAGUGUGGGUCGUUUGAAGGCUCAGGAAGGCUCUGCGAAAACUACCGAGUCAUAGUUAAUGAGAAACCUGGGGAAUGAGGAGUUCUGAUUGAUCAGAUUUUCUGUUUCAAUAAAUCAUGAGCUAGAAAACCCUUAUUGUUUAGAGAGGGGAAGCACCUUCUAAGAUAAAAGUCUACUUGCCUGCCUUAAUAGGUAUGUACAGCAAACAGUCUAAUCUCUUGAUCUAGUCUGACUGAUUUUGGCUCCUGGGGGAUGUGACAGAAUAGAGCCGGGCAGUACCGUGACAGGUCUGGGGUGGGGGGGCUUCCCACCUGCCCCCCACCUGUCCAGAAUCCAACCUGUUGGUGUCUCCCCAACCCCCAGCCCGCUCCUCAGCGUACCUGAGCAACCUCCCCCAAAUACAAAGGAUCCUCUGGUUCUGUGCCUCCUCCCCCGACACGUGCCACAAGUUCAUCCAGUUUUUCCCUCUUCCCACCAGUCUGCCAUCAAGAUGCGUGUGCUGAAGGCCGAAUUUGAACUCAGCUCAGGGGACAUAACGGUGACUUUAUUGACAAAGAGGACAAAACCGAUCUUGAUACUGAGUGAAGGGAGACAUACAGCAUGCCAUAGAAGAAGAGUGGCAGGGACCACUCCUGGGUGGGAGGAUCGCCCAGUAGGUGGCUCCCAGCCAGGACCCAGCGAGACACCAGCGUCUGCCAGGCAGAGGGCGAGACCCACGGGGGGAGCUCCCUUCACAGAAGACGUGUUGACCAACCACAACGCCUCCCUGUGCGUCCACCUUUGCUUUUGUCUAUUUACUUAUUUACUUAGUUUGCUUUUUAGGGCCACACCAGCAGUAUAUGGAGGUUCCCAGGCUAGAGGUCAGAUUGGAGCUGCAGCUGCUGGCCUACACCACAGCCACAGCAACACAGGAUCCUUAGCACACUGAGUGAGGCCUCAAAAGACUGCACAGUGGGGAUUAUUACCCUCAUUUUACACAGGAGGAAACUAAUGCUUACCUCCCAUGGUGGAGCAGUCAGCAAACUGGCCGAAGACGGGAAGUUCUUCAACUAAUAAAGGCGUCUAAGAACACCCCACAGUAAACAUAUUUUUAAUGAUGAAUGGCUGAAUACUUUCCAUGUGUAAUAGGGGCAAGGCAAGGAUGUCUGUUGUCACCAGGACCAUACAGCAUUUUUCUGGAAGGUUUAGUCGGAUCAGGUUAGGAAGACAUUCCCAUUAGAAAGGAGUGAAAAUGCUCUGUGCAAAUGACAUGAUGCUUUAUAUGGAAAACCCUAAAGAGUACACACACACAUACACAUGUAAGAGCCAGUAAGUGAGUUCAACAAGGUCCCAGGAAACAAGAUCAAUAUGCAAAAUUCAGCUGCAUUUCUGAACUCUAGCAAUGAACAACUCAAAAAUGAAACUAAGGAAACUCUUCCAUGUACAAUAACAUCAAAGAGAAUAAAAUGUUUUAGGAUAAAUUUAAUCAGGGAAGGGCAAGACUUCUACACUGACACCUGUAAAACGUUGUUGAUUAUUCAGCCAUAAAAAGGGAUUAAUUGAUACAACAACAUGGGUGAACUUCAAACACAUGAUGCUAUGUGGAAGGAACCAGACACAAAAGGCCACGUACUGUAUGAUCCCAUAUAUGUGAAAUGCCCAGCAUAGUAAAUCCAAAGGGAUAGAAAACAGAUUGGUAUUGGCAGCAAGGAGGCGGAGCAGAAGUGUACUUAAUGGAUAUGGGGUGUCCUUUUGGGGUGAUGCCAUUUUGGAACUUCAUAUACGUGCCAGUUACAUUGUGAAUGUCCUAAGUGCCACUGAAUUGUACAGUUUAAGAUGCUUCAUUUCACGUUACAUGAAUUUCACCUCAAUUUUUGUAAAUGUUGAAAGAAACUAAAGAAGGCCUAAAUAAAUGGAAAAACAUCUUGUGUUCAUGGAAUAGAAGAUUAUAUCGCCCAGAUGGCAUUACUCCCCAGAGUGAUCUACAGAUUCAGUGUAAUCUGCCUUCAAAAUUACGACUUCCGGAGUUCCUGUGGCUCAGAGGAAAUGAAUCUGAUUAGCAUCCAUGAGGACAUAGGUUCGAUCCCUGGCCUCACUCAGGUGGUUAAGGAUCCAGCGUUGCCAUGAGCUGUAGUGGGUUGCAGACAAGGCUUGGAUCCGGCGUUGCUGUGGCUGUGGUGUAGGGUGGCAGCUGCAGCUCCGAUUCAACCCCUAGCCUGGGAACCUCCAUAUGCCAUGGGUGAGGCCCUAAAAAGACCAAAAAAAAAAAAAAUUGCACCAUCCUUUGUAGCAGAAAUGAACAAAGUGGUCCUAAGAUUCAUCUGCAAAUGCAAAGGACUCAGAAUAGUCAAAACAAUCUUGAAAAAGUACAAGUUUGAGGGCUUACACUUCCCAAUUCAAAAACUUCCUACAAAGCUACAGUAAUUAAGACAGUAUGAUACUGGCAGAUCGUUAUGUGAAAAUAUUCAUAGAAGCAUUAUUCAUAAUAGCCAAAUUCACUGGGACGCAGGUUUGAUCCCCAACCCAGAUCAGCGUUGCACGUUGUAACUGUGGCUCAGAUCUGAUCUUUAGCCCAGGAACUCCAUAUGGGGUGGGGUG
rnacentral:lncRNA from 1 species